GUGCUUUCUUCGGCAGCACAUAUACUAAAAUUGGUACAGAGAAAAUUAGCAUGGCUCAUGCACAAGGAUGACACGCUAAUUCAUGAAGCUUUCCAUAUUUAC
ensembl:snRNA U6 U6 spliceosomal RNA